rnacentral:tRNA from 4 species
GCCGACGUAGCUCAACCGGCCAGAGCUCCUCAUUCGUAAUGAGGGGGUUACCCGUUCGAGUCGGGUCGUCGGCU